AAGGUAGGGGAGGUGACGUCAAGUCAUCAUGGCCCUUAUGUCCAGGGCGACACACGUGCUACAAUGGCCGGCACAACGGGAAGCGAAGGGGCGACCCUGAGCGGAUCCCACAAAAGCCGGUCUCAGUUCGGAUUGCAGUCUGCAACUCGACUGCAUGAAGUUGGAAUCGCUAGUAAUCGUGGAUCAGCCAAGCCGCGGUGAAUACGUUCCCGGGCCUU
rnacentral:rRNA from 1 species